rnacentral:rRNA from 1 species
AGAGUUUGAUCCUGGCUCAGAUUGAACGCUGGCGGCAGGCCUAACACAUGCAAGUCGAGCGGUAGCACAGAGAGCUUGCUCUCGGGUGACGAGCGGCGGACGGGUGAGUAAUGUCUGGGAAACUGCCUGAUGGAGGGGGAUAACUACUGGAAACGGUAGCUAAUACCGCAUAAUGUCGCAAGACCAAAGUGGGGGACCUUCGGGCCUCAUGCCAUCAGAUGUGCCCAGAUGGGAUUAGCUAGUAGGUGGGGUAACGGCUCACCUAGGCGACGAUCCCUAGCUGGUCUGAGAGGAUGACCAGCCACACUGGAACUGAGACACGGUCCAGACUCCUACGGGAGGCAGCAGUGGGGAAUAUUGCACAAUGGGCGCAAGCCUGAUGCAGCCAUGCCGCGUGUGUGAAGAAGGCCUUCGGGUUGUAAAGCACUUUCAGCGGGGAGGAAGGCGGUGAGGUUAAUAACCUCAUCGAUUGACGUUACCCGCAGAAGAAGCACCGGCUAACUCCGUGCCAGCAGCCGCGGUAAUACGGAGGGUGCAAGCGUUAAUCGGAAUUACUGGGCGUAAAGCGCACGCAGGCGGUCUGUCAAGUCGGAUGUGAAAUCCCCGGGCUUAACCUGGGAACUGCAUUCGAAACUGGCAGGCUAGAGUCUUGUAGAGGGGGGUAGAAUUCCAGGUGUAGCGGUGAAAUGCGUAGAGAUCUGGAGGAAUACCGGUGGCGAAGGCGGCCCCCUGGACAAAGACUGACGCUCAGGUGCGAAAGCGUGGGGAGCAAACAGGAUUAGAUACCCUGGUAGUCCACGCCGUAAACGAUGUCGAUUUGGAGGUUGUGCCCUUGAGGCGUGGCUUCCGGAGCUAACGCGUUAAAUCGACCGCCUGGGGAGUACGGCCGCAAGGUUAAAACUCAAAUGAAUUGACGGGGGCCCGCACAAGCGGUGGAGCAUGUGGUUUAAUUCGAUGCAACGCGAAGAACCUUACCUGGUCUUGACAUCCACAGAACUUUCCAGAGAUGGAUUGGUGCCUUCGGGAACUGUGAGACAGGUGCUGCAUGGCUGUCGUCAGCUCGUGUUGUGAAAUGUUGGGUUAAGUCCCGCAACGAGCGCAACCCUUAUCCUUUGUUGCCAGCGGUCCGGCCGGGAACUCAAAGGAGACUGCCAGUGAUAAACUGGAGGAAGGUGGGGAUGACGUCAAGUCAUCAUGGCCCUUACGACCAGGGCUACACACGUGCUACAAUGGCAUAUACAAAGAGAAGCGACCUCGCGAGAGCAAGCGGACCUCAUAAAGUAUGUCGUAGUCCGGAUUGGAGUCUGCAACUCGACUCCAUGAAGUCGGAAUCGCUAGUAAUUGUAGAUCAGAAUGCUACGGUGAAUACGUUCCCGGGCCUUGUACACACCGCCCGUCACACCAUGGGAGUGGGUUGCAA